AAACAAAAAUUAGCUCUUCACCUAGCUAACUCCAUCAUCUAUGCUUAUUAAAUGCCCCAAAAAAUGGCUUCCCCUUGGAGAAUUCCCCUUUUGUUGAAGCUUCUUUUCUUUUCUUUGCUUCUCAUUUUCUCUACUGUUUCUACAACCAACAACGUCGUCCAGCCCCUGUUCCACAAACCUCGCAUUCGUAAGAUUGGUGUGGAUAAGAAAACUAAUGAUGGGAAGGCUGGUGUUGUACCAAGAGUAAUAAAACCAACUUCUGAAGAUUUCCCAUGGGGAGGAGGUUAUAUUCAUCCACACUUAAGCAACCCAUGAUCACAUUAAUUUUAAACUAUGUUUGGUUUAAAUCAAGCUCUGUAAUUUGUUUUUAUUUGGUUGGUGGUGUUGACUUUUUUUGAAGCAUCAAUCUCAUCUUCUUAACCCUACUCUAUAUAUAUAUAUAUAUAUUAAUUGUUUUUUCUCUCUCA